rnacentral:lncRNA from 1 species
CUAACAUGAGUCAGUCCAGUGUGCAACCUCGGUCACAUCGACUGGUGAAUCCAGACCAGCACUCAGGGAGCUGGAAAGAGGGGAGUAGUUCAGGAGGGAGCUGAGAAGAGAGGAUCUGAUGGGAGGAGGAUAAAGCUGCUCCCAGCCCUUGAAGUGCCUGCAAGGAUGCGAAGGCUGAUGUUCCUAAACAAUGGCUGAAGAACAAACCGAGGCUCCAGGCUCGGUUUAGUGCUGAGUUUUGCUGUAUGGACCCCGGGAUGUUUCUGAGCUGGUUUCUUUGAGAAAUGAGGGAAGUCCCAGGGAGGGCUCUGCUGUGAGCAGUUCUGCUGGCUCCUUCCCCUGCAGCCACAGCCAGGCAGCCAAAGGAUCAGCCGCCAAAAACCCACUUGGGCAAGAUUCAAACAAACAUCCAGGCCAGCAGCUUCAAGUGCUCUCAUUCACAAGCGAUCAGUCAGAAAUCUCUGCUGAUUUUGGUGGCACUGACAUCAAAGGUACAGCAUUUUUCACUGCAUGACCACACUGACGUCACCACUGUAAAGCCUGAUGGAGGAUGGAAUGAGCAGAUCCUGCCAGUUUUCUCUGCCUGGAUUUGGCAGCACGCAGAGGUUUUGUGAUGUGCUCUACUGGAGGUUGUUUUUGGCACCUCCCCUGCAGUGUCAGUGCCAGUGUGCAGCAGAAGAGCAUCUCAUCUCUGAGCCAUGCUGGAAUAGGAGGUGGGAGUCAGCACUUUUCUUCCAGCAGAUGCCACCCAACCUUGACCUCCACCAUCCAGAUGUGCAGGAGCUUUGGAAACUCAAGAGACAGAUGAGCACACAUGGAAGAGCGAUGCUCAGGUGCAGAGCGAGCAGGAGUGUGCAUUGCCACUGA